AUGUCUCAAGACGAACGCUGGCGGCGUGUCUUACACACGCAAGUCGAGCGGACAGAUAGGAGCUUGUUUCAAGAUGUUAGCGGCGGACGGGUGAGUAACACGUGGGUAACCUGCCCGUAAGACUGGGAUAACUCCGGGAAACCGGGGCUAAUACCGGAUGGYUGUUUGAACCGCAUGGUUCAAACAUAAAAGGUGGCUUCGGCUAUCACUUACAGAUGGACCCGCGGCGCAUUAGCUAGUUGGUGAGGUAACGGCUCACCAAGGCAACGAUGCGUAGCCGACCUGAGAGGGUGAUCGGCCACACUGGGACUGAGACACGGCCCAGACUCCUACGGGAGGCAGCAGUAGGGAAUCUUCCGCAAUGGACGAAAGUCUGACGGAGCAACGCCGCGUGAGUGAUGAAGGUUUUCGGAUCGUAAAGCUCUGUUGUUAGGGAAGAACAAGUGCCUGGUCGAAUAAGCCGGCACCUGACGUA
rnacentral:rRNA from 2 species